rnacentral:rRNA from 1 species
GAUGAACGCUGGCGGCGUGCCUAAUACAUGCAAGUCGAGCGAACAGACGAGGAGCUUGCUCCUCUGACGUUAGCGGCGGACGGGUGAGUAACACGUGGAUAACCUACCUAUAAGACUGGGAUAACUUCGGGAAACCGGAGCUAAUACCGGAUAAUAUAUUGAACCGCAGGGUUCAAUAGUGAAAGACGGUUUUGCUGUCACUUAUAGAUGGAUCCGCGCCGCAUUAGCUAGUUGGUAAGGUAACGGCUUACCAAGGCAACGAUGCGUAGCCGACCUGAUAGGGUGAUCGGCCACACUGGAACUGAGACACGGUCCAGACUCCUACGGGAGGCAGCAGUAGGGAAUCUUCCGCAAUGGGCGAAAGCCUGACGGAGCAACGCCGCGUGAGUGAUGAAGGUCUUCGGAUCGUAAAACUCUGUUAUUAGGGAAGAACAAAUGUGUAAGUAACUAUGCACGUCUUGACGGUACCUAAUCAGAAAGCAACGGCUAACUACGUG